GACGAACGCUGGCGGCGUGCUUAAUACAUGCAAGUCGUGCGAACAGACGUGUAGCUUGCUCCUCAGACGUUAACGGCUGACGGGUACGUAACACACGUAUCCCCAACCUAUGAGAAACGCUAAACAUCUGGAGCCCGUAGCUAAUAUCUGCUACUACUUCAUAGCGGAUGUUUCAAAGGUGCAACACGUGUUUACUGACUCGUAUACUUGGAUCCGCGCUGCAUUAGCUAGUUGGUCAGGUAACGGCUUACCAAGGCAACGAUGCGUAGCCGACCUGAGAGGGUGAUCGGCCACACUGGAACUGAGACACGGUCCAGACUCCUACGGGAGGCAGCAGUAGGGAAUCUUCCGCAAUGGGCGAAAGCCUGACGGAGCAACGCCGCGUGAGUGAUGAAGGUCUUCGGAUCGUAAAACUCUGUUAUUAGGGAAGAACAAAUGUGUAAGUAACUAUGCACGUCUUGACGGUACCUAAUCAGAAAGCCACGGCUAACUACGUG
rnacentral:rRNA from 1 species